rnacentral:misc_RNA from 1 species
UAUCAAAUAAUAAAUUAUUAUUUUACCAAAACGGAACUUUACAUUGUUACCAUAUUUUUGAUUGUAGAUAUCUGUUUCGCGACUUUAUAAUCUUUACAUUUUUUGUGACAAUGGAUGACAGAGAUAAAGCUCAGCAUAAUAUGAUAUCCAAUUUGCCGCUUUUGUUUGCAAAUGGAUACCCCACGUCGCUUGAAAAAAUAAGCGAAUCACAAUUAGAAAGUUUUAUUCCAUUUAUGGUACAGUGCUCUUUGGGCCAUAUAAACUUACCAAAAAAAAUUGACUGCAGUGAGCCCGAGUGGUGGCCGGAAAACGCACCUUUUGGAAUUCCGUUAAAAAAACCAAACGAUUUUGUUGGGAGCUGGAUGGAAAAAAUGAAAGAAAUUGUAGUAAUUUGCUAUCAAUUUCACAAAAGCUUAUUUUUAUUACGAUUUUGUAAUGAUUUAGCUGCAUAUGAACAUGCAAGCUUAAGAUUUAUAAACAAUUAUAAUUCAACAACCUCGCUAUAUGAUAGAAGAAACAACAAAUUGUUGGUAACAUUUCGGAAUGAAAACAUGUCAUAUGACAGACAGCAAAAAAAUAGAAAAUGCUUGUUACUUCAACAAAAAAAUUUGACUACAUCUAUUGAUAAUUUACAACAUAUGAUGGUGGAACCACCACCUUUUGAUAUAUAUCUUUGCGACAAUUGUGAUGCCGAACUUUAUUCUAAACAAGCUAUAUUGGUAAGUUUUUAUUAACUAUA